rnacentral:misc_RNA from 1 species
ACCACACCGCAAGCAGGCGAG